rnacentral:rRNA from 1 species
UACGGGGGGGGCAAGCGUUGUUCGGAAUUACUGGGCGUAAAGGGCUCGUAGGUGGCCAACUAAGUCGGACGUGAAAUCCCUCGGCUUAACCGGGGAACUGCGUCCGAUACUGAUUGGCUUGAGUUUGGGAGAGGGAUGCGGAAUUCCAGGUGUAGCGGUGAAAUGCGUAGAUAUCUGGAGGAAUACCGGUGGCGAAGGCGGCAUCCUGGACCGAGAUUGACACUGAUGAGCGAAGGCCAGGGGAGCAAACGGG